GAUGAACGCUGGCGGCGUGCCUAAUACAUGCAAGUCGAACGAAGAGAGAAGCUUGCUUCUCUUUUAGUGGCGAACGGGUGAGUAAUACAUAAGCAACCUACCUAUUUGACCGGGAUAACAGUUGGAAACGACUGCUAAUACCGGAUAGGUGCGCGGGGGACAUCCCCUGCACAUUAAAGCUGGGACACAGCACGAAUGGAUGGGCUUAUGGCGCAUUAGUUAGUUGGCGGGGUAACGGCCCACCAAGACGAUGAUGCGUAGCCGACCUGAGAGGGUGACCGGCCACACUGGGACUGAGACACGGCCCAGACUCCUACGGGAGGCAGCAGUAGGGAAUUUUCGGCAAUGGGCGCAAGCCUGACCGAGCAACGCCGCGUGAGUGAAGAAGGCCUUCGGGUUGUAAAGCUCUGUUGUAAGGGAAGAAUGGCCAAGAGAGGGAAUGCUCUUGGAGUGACGGUACCUUACCAGAAAGCCACAGCUAACUACGUGCCAGCAGCCGCAGUAAAAC
rnacentral:rRNA from 1 species